AACUGCUGCACAAGGAGUGUUCGAUUGGACUCCUUUUCACACAAUGAACAACCAGCUUAGAACUGAUGCGGGCAAGGGGAAUCCGACUGUUUAAUUGAAACAAAGUAUUGCGAUGCCCUGAAAGGAUGUUGACACAAUGUGAUUUCUGCCCAGUGCUCUGAAUGUCAAAGUGAGGAGAUUCAACUAAGCGCGGGUAAACGGCGGGAGUAACUAUGACUCUCUUAAGGUAGCCAAAUGCCUCGUCAUCCAAUUAGUGACGCGCAUGAAUGGAUUAAUGAGAUUCCUACUGUCCCAAUCUACUGUCCAGCGAAACCACAGCCAAGGGAACGGGCUUGGGUGAGUCAGCGGGGAAAGAAGACCCUGUUGAGCUUGACUCUAAUCCGACUUUGUGAAAUGACUUAGGAGGAGUAGGAUAUGUGGGAGCUCAGGUGAUCUUGAAAUACCACUACUUUUAAUGUCACUUUACUUACUCUAUCCAACUGUGCCCUGCCUCACAGCAGGUUUUUGCUUUUAAGGUUGCUCUUUUGGCGUGUUGAUUUGCGUAGAAGACGUCGUCCGGUGGGGAGUUUGGCUGGGGCGGCACAUCUGUUAAAGGAUAACGCAGGUGUCCUAAGGUGAGCUCAAUGAGAACAGAAAUCUCAUGCGGAUCAAAAGGGGAAACGCUUGCUUGAUUUUGCUUUUCAGUGUGAAGAUAAACUGUGCAAACAUGGCCUAUUGAUCCUUUAG
rnacentral:rRNA from 1 species